rnacentral:rRNA from 1 species
GAUGAACGCUGGCGGCGUGCCUAAUACAUGCAAGUCGAGCGAACAGAUGAGGAGUUUGCUGUUGUGACGUUAGCGGCGGACGGGUGAGUAACACGUAAAUAACCUACCUCUAAGACUUGGGUAACGGCGGGAAACCGGAACUAAUACCGUGUGAUAUAUCGGACUGGAUGGUUCAAGAGUGGAAGACGGUUUUGCUGUUACGUAUAGAUGGAUCCGCGCCGCAUUAGCUAGUUGGUAAGGUAACGGCUUAGCAAGGCAACGAUGGGUAGCCGACGUGAGAGAGUGAUAGCCCACACUGGAACUGAGACACGCACACGACGACUACGGCAGGGAGCAGUAGGGAAUCUUCCGCAAUGGGCGAAAGCCUUACGGAGCAGCGGAGCGUGUGUGAUGACAGUGUUCGGAUCGUGAUGCUCUGUUAUUAGGGAAGAACAAAUGUGUACGUAAAUAUGCACAUAUUGACGGUACCUGAUCAGAAAGCCACGGCUAACUACGUG